rnacentral:rRNA from 1 species
GAUGAACGCUGGCGGCGUGCCUAAUACAUGCAAGUCGAGCGAACAGACGAGGAGCUUGCUCCUCUGACGUUAGCGGCGGACGGGUGAGUAACACGUGGAUAACCUACCUAUAAGACUGGGAUAACUUCGGGAAACCGGAGCUAAUACCGGAUAAUAUAUUGAACCGCAUGGUUCAAUAGUGAAAGACGGUUUUGCUGUCACUUAUAGAUGGAUCCGCGCCGCAUUAGCUAGUUGGUAAGGUAACGGCUUACCAAGGCAACGAUGCGUAGCCGACCUGAGAGGGUGAUCGGACACAUUGGAACUGAGACACGGUCCAGACUCCUACGGGAGGCAGCAGUAGGGAAUCUUCCGCAAUGGGCGAAAGCCUGAAGGAGCAACGCCGCGUGAGUGAUGAAGGUCUUCGGAUCGUAUAACUCUGUUACUAGGGAAGAACAAAUGUGUAAGUAACUAUGCACGUCUUGACGGUACCUAAUCAGAAAGCCACGGAUAACUACGUG